rnacentral:rRNA from 1 species
UACGAAGGGGGCUAGCGUUGUUCGGAAUUACUGGGCGUAAAGCGUGCGCAGGCGGCUUCUCAAGUCAGGGGUGAAAGCCCAGAGCUCAACUCUGGAAUUGCCUUUGAGACUGAGUGGCUUGAGUACGAGAGAGGUGAGUGGAAUUCCCAGUGUAGAGGUGAAAUUCGUAGAUAUCGGGAGGAACACCGGUGGCGAAGGCGGCGAUCUGGGUCGAUACUGACGCUGAGGUGCGAAAGCGUGGGGAGCAAACAGG